GCCUGAACACCACCAUCACCACCCCCAUCUCGUCUCCUAGCGGAAGCUAAACAGGGUAGGGCCCGGCGGGAAGUGGGAUGGGGGACCGCCUGCGAACACCCGCGCUGCAGGCU
rnacentral:rRNA from 1 species